GUGUCCAUGGUGUAAUGGUUUGAGGGUCAGACUAUGACUCUGAAGACCAGGGUUCAAAUCCUCACUGAGACA